rnacentral:SRP_RNA from 1 species
GGGUGCCCUCGGCGUGCUGGGACCGUCGGCCUUCUCAGGGGGCUUCCGGGCAGCAGCCGGUUCAGCCUUGGGCGGCCUCAUGGUUGGCACUUGCAU